rnacentral:rRNA from 1 species
UACGUAGGGGGCGAGCGUUGUCCGGAAUCAUUGGGCGUAAAGCGCGUGUAGGCGGCUCGAUAAGUCCGGUGUGAAACCUUGGGGCUCAACCCCAAGCCUGCACUGGAUACUGCCGGGCUAGAGUCCGGGAGGGGAGAGCGGAAUUCCUAGUGUAGCGGUGAAAUGCGCAGAUAUUAGGAAGAACACCGGUGGCGAAGGCGGCUACGCUGGGACGGUACUGACGCUGAGACGCGAAAGCGUGGGGAGCAACAG